UGCCAGCAUUUCCUGGCCCGCCUACCUUCUUCCUCUUUCAUUACCUUCAGGUGUUUGGUUGUGGGUAAGCCUCGGUCGUUCCUGAGAUCGAAUCCACUGGCAGGAAAAAUGGAUGGUCACCGCUUGAGGCCUCUCAUCAAAGCAGUGCUGUGUCCUCUUGGAAUGCGCUCAUCUGGGUAAAAAUCAAAACUUUAUGUUCUCCAUAUAUUUAGAAUAUGGGUUUGGAGGAGGGUGAACACCACAUACUUCUGAAGAGUUCUAUAAAGUGAACAGCUGCAAUGCAAGGUGGACUGAACAAAUUCUGAAAACUACUAGGAUAUCAGAACUCAAGACUUUGGUCUCUUUGGUGACAGUGAGAAAAAGGGCUGAUGAUUCUGAAGAGACGAGACAACAGUUUGGCGUGUUCUCCAUUCCCUAGAAAAUGUAUGUUGGAGAUGAGCUUUAAAAGGAGAACACCCUGUUUCACUCUGGAAGAAAAGUUGUAUAGAAGAUGGAGGAAUUUGCCAUAACAUCUCAGAACAAGAUAGUGGAUCCUUAAUCUCUGAGAAGUGUGUAACCACACACAAUAAAACUUUUGUGUGAAUAAAA